UCCUCCCGCCCCAGAAGAAGACCCCCCCCCCCAUGCACUCAUCAGGACUGGUGCCUUCUCGCAUCUGCGGAUCGAAACCUUCCUGCCUUCAAAGCAAGCCUAGUUCCGGGCAGGUGGUGCCUCAGAAGCUGGCUCGAAAGGGGCCACGGCGGGAGCUCCUUCCCUUAGAGUGAGGAUGCGCUCUGGGCGUGUCCGUGUGUCCCUUUGUAUGUCUAUGUGUGUUGGGCUUCGUUCCACAUGAACUCUGCCUAGCCUAUUCCUCGCGCUCCGGGACUUCGGGGGAGGGGCCCCAGAGGUGGGCAGCGACUUCUUCGCAUCUCUGAUCGUUUUCUUAUAGACACUAGACACCCCGACCAAGCCACCCCUAUACCUACGCCUCUUUUUUUUUUUUCUUCUGGAUAGCGGCACCGCCUGGCAGGGAUUCCAGUCCAGGUUCCAGUGCCUUUGGGGACUAUGGACAAGGGUCUGGGCUGCAUCGUGUGCCCCAAGUCAGAACCAGAAUUGGGCCUGGGAACUCAUUUCAAGCUCCAAUUAUGUAGAAAGAGUAACUAAGGCAGGGAGAACACAAAUCAGGUUUUAAAAGACUGAAAGAGCUCCAGCUACCAGCUGGCCUGGUUGGCCCCGCAGACCGCCCCCCAUCUUUUCCAAUAAGCCGUCGACUGGUUGCCCCACAGGCUUUUACAGGGCGCUGGUCCAGACAAGGUCCCGACCGUGAGUCCGGGAUCCACAGGCAGCCCUCGGACAGUAGAUCCCAGAAGUGGGCAGUGGGCAUCGCCGGCGGUGAGAGUAGAAGCCAGAUUGACAGAGAAGCCAUUAUCCAGGUCUUCUCUGACGCCUCCUCCAAGCCCCAAGCUCCAGGGGCGCCCCACUGCCUACGUUCCACAUCUUCGCAUUUAACCAUCCGGAGUCCGGGCUGCGAGCCUCCGUGGCCCCUGCAUGCCCGAUGCAUCAUCGCUAGACCGCCGCUUCCGGGCGCCAGAGGGACCCCUCGGCCCGCACGCGGCCGUCCUGGGCUUGGUGCAAGGAGAGAGUGCGUGGCUCCCGCUCCCACGUGUCCACUGCCCUGCACCGAGCACAGGAAUCCGCAGCGCCUCGCGCCCGGGCGCCCCCUAAAUGCCCUCCUUGGGACCCAGGAUUAGCCUCGUGCCUCUCUGGGCGGGACGUGCAACGGAGCCACACUAGCUGAGGAGGAACUCCGGAGGAAUAACCAGGGGCGCUGCGCUGCUUGGAGAUUAGCCCCCUAUUCCCAGCCUAGUGCGGAGGGACGCGGGGACCCCGCGCAGGCUUAGCGCUUCGGCCCGGAGGCGCCUCCCCCACGCGUCUGACACGAAGCAGUUCCCGGCCCGGCCCUGCGGCGAGGCUAUCCCCGCUCUGAGUGCGUGGGCGCGGGAGACUAGCCUGGCCCUUCCUCUGCAGAGAACUUGAGUUUGGUUCCAAGCACAGAUGGCAAGUGGCUCACAGUCGCAUGGAACCCCAGUCCCAGGAGAUCCGUGACCUUUGACCCCCAUGGGCACCUGUAGCCAUGUGUGUACAGGAACACACACACACUGAAAUCUAGUGGGUCUCCAUGCCAGGUUGUGCAGAAGGAGCGGAGAGACGGAGGAGACCGGCCCGCCAUCCAAGCUGGGUGUCCCACAUCUCUGCGCCUCCUGCUGACUCGGUGUCUAGCUCUCUCAGGCCCUGAGGGUCUCUCAUCACUAUCUUUCCUGGGAACUCGUGCAGAUGAAGAGGAGCUCCUGCGGUCUCUUGUCAUGCUGCAACAUGGUGAGACACAAAUCCCCAGCCCAUUGUGCCCCUUCUUGCCACGGAGAGUCUCCAAGUGCUGCCCACCAGGAGAACACAGAAUGGCGCUGCUCAUACUCGGUGUGCAGGGAGAACCUGCCACUGCCGCCCCUUACUUACCUCAAGAAGGAAGUAGGCUAAACCAGAGGGGACUACAGCGUGCGAAGACCUGAAGGAUGGAGGAGGCCCUUCCUGAAGCCCCCAUCAUUUCCCCAGGCUGUGGCCUCCUCCUGAAAAGGCAGCUUGGAGCUCCCAACUUCUCUGCAUAGCCACACACCUUCCUGCAAGUGUUCUGGCGGGAGAGGGUGUCCACGUCUCUGACAGGCUUGGAGGACCAGGACUCUCCACAGGAAUAAGCUACAGUUGCCCCAGGGUGUCCAUUUUUUUUUAAAUUUUUUAUUGUUUUUAUUGAGCUAUAUAUUUCUCCCCUCCCCUCUCUUGCUCCCACCUCCCCUUCCACCCUCUUCCAUGAUCCCCAUGC